UACGUAGGGUGCGAGCGUUGUCCGGAAUUAUUGGGCGUAAAGAGCUCGUAGGCGGCUUGUCGCGUCGGAUGUGAAAGCCCGGGGCUUAACUCCGGGUCUGCAUUCGAUACUGCUCUGGCUAGAGUCCGGUAGGGGAGCGUGGAAUUCCUGGUGUAGCGGUGAAAUGCGCAGAUAUCAGGAGGAACACCAGCGGCGAAGGCGGCGCUCUGGGCCGGUACUGACACUGAGGAGCGAAAGCGUGGGUAGCAAACAGG
rnacentral:rRNA from 1 species